rfam:Oryza glumipatula chromosome 6, whole genome shotgun sequence.
AAUAAGUGUAGUUUUAACACUGUUCAUGUCUAACAUUUGACCGCUCGUCUUAUUUAAAAUUUUUUUAUGAUUACUAUUUUUAUUGUUAUUAAAUGAUAAAACAUGAAUAGUACUUUAUGUGUGACUAAUUUUUUUAAUAUUUUUCAUAAAUUUUUUAAAUAAGACGGAUGGUCAAAAUGAUGGACACGGACAUCUAUGGCUGCAUUUAUU